AGUCUCAAUCUAUCAUGUGAUGAAAGGUGUGGUACCAACUACAGCAAAUAAACUUACAAUUUCCAACAUCCAACCAAAGAGGCUGACUACAAAAUAAAGCUAUUCCUACGAAACUGCAAUUUUUGCAGGUCAAAUUUUCAGCCAGCCACCAGAGGGUGCCCGUAGAGCUCUCUAAAAAUGACCAAAACCUGAAGAAUUAGAGGAGAAAGAAAAUUUCCAGUGCAUGGAAGACCAGGACAAAAUACAGCUUACCCCCACGUGACUUGAACAGAUACACAGGCCAGACAAGGAGCUGUGAGGCUGUCGACAACAAGAACCAGGGUGGGAGUAACCCCAGAUUUUACCUAGAUAUGAGCUAAACAAGUUGCUUCUUGAUUUCACAUUGGCAAUUGCGAUAGUACUUUGAGGACUGGCCCAGAAAGCAUUUUCAUCCCCUGGCAAAACUCUUCCCCAUCAGCUUCCCAACCAUGUGUACAAAGGAAAUGCAAAUACAUGUGAAUAGUAGCCUGAGUCAAAGUCUUCUUGGAAGGCACCAAGACCUGUACUCGUUGGAGACUAUGAUGGACAACACAACAUGAAUUUCUUGCCCUCAGGUGGUUUACAAUCUAGAGAGGGAGGCAGACAAAUGACCAGAUGACAUCCGAGAGACCAAGCUUUGCCUGCCCUCCUGUGGCCUUGGCUGGGGGAUCCUCCUGUGGCCCAUGGAAGGGGCAUUUCUCUGAACUGAAGGACUCCACCUCUCCUAUGCUAUAACUGGCCAGGGAUGGGCCUGCAGUGGCUGAUCAGAGGUUCAGCCCUUGGUAAUUCAAGCCAAUCCAGUUUCUUGCCUUAAAAUUUGUAAUUGACAUGCUGACAGAUGAAGUUAGUUACAGGUGGUGAGUGAGCUUCAAGUUUAUGGAGACUUGGGACUGAAGCCACUUGAUGAGCCACGUAUUCCCAGAGAGUGUGUAAAAGCAAAAGAAGCAACCAGAAGAGAGGAUGAGAGAGGGGAAGGGGGCAGACUUGGAGAGUCAGCUCCCCUUGAUGGCAACAACUCCCCUUGCUCCUUAUCUUUGUGUCCUGUGAGAUUACCAUUCUUUAAAAUAAAUCCCUCUCUUCCUGCGA
rnacentral:lncRNA from 1 species